rnacentral:rRNA from 1 species
GAUGAACGCUGGCGGCGUGCCUAAUACAUGCAAGUCGAGCGAACAGACGAGGAGCUUGCUCCUCUGACGUUAGCGGCGGACGGGUGAGUAACACGUGGAUAACCUACCUAUAAGACUGGGAUAACUUCGGGAAACCGGAGCUAAUACCGGAUAACAUGUUGAACCGCAUGGUUCAACAGUGAAAGACGGUCUUGCUGUCACUUAUAGAUGGAUCCGCGCCGCAUUAGCUAGUUGGUAAGGUAACGGCUUACCAAGGCAACGAUACGUAGCCGACCUGAGAGGGUGAUCGGCCACACUGGAACUGAGACACGGUCCAGACUCCUACGGGAGGCAGCAGUAGGGAAUCUUCCGCAAUGGGCGAAAGCCUGACGGAGCAACGCCGCGUGAGUGAUGAAGGUCUUCGGAUCGUAAAACUCUGUUAUUAGGGAAGAACAAAUGUGUAAGUAACUAUGCACGUCUUGACGGUACCUAAUCAGAAAGCCACGGCUAACUACGUG